GACCUGCUUAGGCAAAAAAUCGUGCAUCGUACAAAAUCGUUGUAACGAUGAUUGUAGGUUGUUCCGUAACGAUUCCUGAUUCUAAAUUGAUGUGGGGCCAAGACGGCAGCUCAAUAGUUCUCCGGUGAGCGGCCGUUAUGUCACUUUUAUUUCUAUGAUUUUUCAUUCGUAAACGGGAAGAGAUAUUAAUCUACUUCCAAAGGAUAAAUUUUAGAGAAAAGUCUGAAUUUUUUUUGGCGGAAUUUAUUUUUUGACAUUUGAAUCCAAAAUGACGGAAAAAAUUGGUCAAAGUCGAAAAAUAUUUUUUUCUCAAAGGAAAAUCCCUGAAACCUAUAGAAAGACUGAAAAUUCGCAAAAACUUUCUUCAGAAGGUUUAUAGAGAAUUUAAAGAGCUUCAUUUUCGUUUUUUAUUUAUUGAAAUCGGGCAGCUCAUUCCGGAGAUAUGUCUGUAACAAUCGGUUUUUUGGAUUU